rnacentral:rRNA from 1 species
AGUGAACGCUGGCGGUAGGCCUAACACAUGCAAGUCGAACGGCAGCACAGUAAGAGCUUGCUCUUACGGGUGGCGAGUGGCGGACGGGUGAGGAAUACAUCGGAAUCUACUUUUUCGUGGGGAAUAACGUAGGGAAACUUACGCUAAUACCGCAUACGACCUACGGGUGAAAGCAGGGGAUCUUCGGACCUUGCGCGAUUGAAUGAGCCGAUGUCGGAUUAGCUAGUUGGCGGGGUAAAGGCCCACCAAGGCGACGAUCCGUAGCUGGUCUGAGAGGAUGAUCAGCCACACUGGAACUGAGACACGGUCCAGACUCCUACGGGAGGCAACAGUGGGGAAUAUUGGACAAUGGGCGCAAGCCUGAUCCAGCCAUACCGCGUGGGUGAAGAAGGCCUUCGGGUUGUAAAGCCCUUUUGUUGGGAAAGAAAAGCAGCAGGUUAAUACCCCGCUGUUCUGACGGUACCCAAAGAAUAAGCACCGGCUAACUUCGUG